CUGAUAUAAUGUCACUGUUGUGUUUUAUUAUUUUUUUUUAUUCUCAUUGUUCUAUAAAGAUUAAUUUUGUCACCCUCUGUUGUGGCUGUUAUGUAAUUUUAUGCACCAGCUGCAAUGAGCCGAGCUGGAUCAGACGAAGUUAGCAGCCAAGCUGAGUAAGGAAGACAAAUAAAUGUUAAAAGAAGUGUGUAUGUGCGUGUGCGUGUAUGCAUGCAUGCGUGUCAAACACUAAAUGUGCACUCGUGCUCGCCGCCGCAGCAGGCAGAGGGUCCUCCAGCAUCCUUACAAACAUCUGACUCCACAGAUGGCUGAAUGAAACAGCUGGUAAGCUCUACUCUCUCUCUGUUUCUUUGCACUAACACACACUCACACACACACUCUCUCUCUACACAGCAUCCCUCUUCAGGAGGUCACGGUUGUCUCUUUGUAUUAAUUCGGCUGUAAAUGUCCGUGUAGCAUACAGAUGCUGCGGCAGAAAGAGGAGAAGAAGAAGAAGAGGAGGGCAGUGAGUGAAGCAGGUUGAUCACCUCAUUACAGUAUGCUAAUAAGAAAGCCUCGCCAUUGACAUGAAUUACCUCAUUAACCUGAAAAACAGGAAAAAGGAGACAAGAGCGAGGAAUAAAGAGAUGCAGAUCAAGCUUUUUUCUCUCCUGUGUUCACAUGAGAUAAAAAUUUUGCUGACAAGAAGCUAAAAGCACAGAGGCUGCAGAGAUUUUAAAUGUCUGCUGUUAACAUUUGAAACAGAAGGUGGAGAGGUGUUCGGUUUCCUCCCUGAGUGAGGUCUUACAGGUGUAUUAUAUUACGUCUAUUUCCAGGGGACACUGAGAGUUGCCAUAUUGUCAUGUAUUAUAUUACAAAGUAAAGCCGGGGAACUUCUGUUUUUAUUGACCCGAUGAUUAUGAAACCAGCGUUCAGUCCUUACAUGAUGUUUAAAAUUGAAAGAUGUUCAGAAACAGAGAUUUUCGUGAUCUUUGCUGCAUGAAGUGUCAGCCCUGACUCUGAGAUUUAUGGAUGUAACCACGGCGUAUAGAGUGAAAUAUUCAGCACACCUUCAGACCUCAUGCUUUCAGAGUGAAGGAACAUUAAACUUCUUCCUAUACUGGAACAAAAUGUUGCCAGAGAACAUGAAUUACUGAUGAAAAACAGAUGAAUGAAAGGCUGGAGGGUGUAGUCCUCUGAAAAAGAAAUACAGUUUUUAAAGGGUGAGUCAAGAUAGAUCGUACGACUCGUACACAUGCAGAUUGUGUUGAUGUGUGGAGCGUUUAUUACAAUACUAAUUUCACUGGAAGAGCAUCCAGAGAGAAUAUUUUUACUAUUAUCUACUGGAAGAGCAUCUCUAUAAAAUAACCACUGUGGUUUGAAGGGGGGGCAACUGCCAUUCCGACAUUGGUCUCUAAUUGUCGGAGUGGCGGUAUGGUACCAUACAACGUGCCGUAAUCACAGCAGGACAAACGCCCGACCAGUUACCGCAGUUGUGAAAUCCGUUCACAAAGCGAUUUAGGCGUUGGCGCGUGUGGUUUCUCGCUCGCUGGCUGGCUGGCUGGCUGGCUGGCUGGCUGCUGGAAGUGAGAGAUGAACGAAUCACUUGAGGAAGUGACUCGGUUCAGUACGUUCUCUUAAAAGAUUCUGGUUUUUUUGAACGAAUCAUUGGCGAACGACCCAACACUAUCCAGAGGACACUUUUUAUGUUUUAAAGUCAUCCUCACGGAUUCUUUCACAGUGUAUUUUUAAGGAAUGAGGCUGUUGGACGUGCUCUUUUGAUGAAGCAUUUUAAACGAACUUUGGUAUCAAUUUUGUGCGAAACAACUCAAAACUGAUCAGCUGACUGACGCACAAAGUUGUUUUCUUGAUACCGACAAACAUCAGCAUGAGAUCUCAGUCUUGUUGGUGUGAUACACUUCUUGCUGCAUCAAUUUGUUUUCUUGCAGAAACUGGAACACACUUUUGAGAAUAUUUUUGAUCUCAUGUUUCCUGAUACGUGCCAGAUUCGACCCACUUUCACUCAGGCAAUUAUGAAAAAGUGUGAGUAAGGUUUUACGACGCAGCGAACAGUGUGUAGGAUGGAUCUGAAAGUCUGUCGCUCCUGGAGACGUGUCGGUAUGUUUGUGGGACUGGGUAAAGGUUCACAACAAUCGAACCUGUGACCUGAUUUCUGCUGAUACAAAGGUGUCGAUGACGGGUUACUGUCAAACAUGGGCGCCAUUUCUGUUAUACUGUUGCUCUUUUUAAUUCUGAAGCUGCACAAUGACAACAGCUAUGAUUUUCCCAUUUCAUUAAAAAUGCCAGGACCAGACGAGCCCCCUGAAAGCCCCCAAAGUGCAAUUAUCUGCAAAUUAAAUAUGCUGUCAUGCUAUUACCACAACCAUUUCCUCCUGCCUGGCUGGAUCUCCAUUCAUAAUUUAAUCCUUUAUGCACUUCUCCUGUUUUAGGUGCUGCCGGCGCUCCCAGUGAGGUAAGGCAGGGAGGAGCAGAGAGGAGGCGUCCUGCAGGCGCAGAGAGGAGCGGCGAGCCGUGUUGAGGGUCAAUUAUCUGUUGAAGUGGUUGUUCUCGGAGUGCUGUUUACAUGUGGGUCAAGACUGGAGCUGGAGAGGAGCUGCUGGCUGCUUUUAUGAGAUAAACCGAGACAGAGAGAGAGAGAGAGAGAGAGAGAGAGAGAGAAAGAGAGAGAGAGAGUCUGUGAGAAAAUAUGACUCCACAUGUGCUUAACAUUUCCCUGUGAAUGACUUUGAUUCUCUCUGUCAAAGUGAAAAUACAUUGAAGUUCAUGUAAAGUUUGUUCUCAACGAGUGAUUAUGGAGA